rnacentral:rRNA from 1 species
UGGGGAAUUUUGGACAAUGGGCCCAAGCCUGAUCCAGCAAUGCCGCGUGCAGGAUGAAGGCCUUCGGGUUGUAAACUGCUUUUGUACGGAACGAAAAAGCUCUCUCUAAUACAGGGGGUGAAUGACGGUACCGUAAGAAUAAGCACCGGCUAACUACGUGCCAGCAGCCGCGGUAAUACGUAGGGUGCAAGCGUUAAUCGGAAUUACUGGGCGUAAAGCGUGCGCAGGCGGUUUUGUAAGACAGAGGUGAAAUCCCCGGGCUCAACCUGGGAACUGCCCUUGUGACUGCAAAGCUGGAGUGCGGCAGAGGGGGAUGGAAUUCCGCGUGUAGCAGUGAAAUGCGUAGAUAUGCGGAGGAACACCGAUGGCGAAGGCAAUCCCCUGGGCCUGCACUGACGCUCAUGCACGAAAGCGUGGGGAGCAAACA